rnacentral:rRNA from 1 species
GAUGAACGCUGGCGGCGUGCCUAAUACAUGCAAGUCGAGCGAACGGACGAGAAGCUUGCUUCUCUGAUGUUAGCGGCGGACGGGUGAGUAACACGUGGAUAACCUACCUAUAAGACUGGGAUAACUUCGGGAAACCGGAGCUAAUACCGGAUGAUAUUUUGAACCGCAUGGUUCAAAAGUGAAAGACGGUCUUGCUGUCACUUAUAGAUGGAUCCGCGCUGCAUUAGCUAGUUGGUAAGGUAACGGCUUACCAAGGCAACGAUGCAUAGCCGACCUGAGAGGGUGAUCGGCCACACUGGAACUGAGACACGGUCCAGACUCCUACGGGAGGCAGCAGUAGGGAAUCUUCCGCAAUGGGCGAAAGCCUGACGGAGCAACGCCGCGUGAGUGAUGAAGGUCUUCGGAUCGUAAAACUCUGUUAUUAGGGAAGAACAUAUGUGUAAGUAACUGUGCACAUCUUGACGGUACCUAAUCAGAAAGCCACGGCUAACUACGUGCCAGCAGCCGCGGUAAUACGUAGGUGGCAAGCGUUAUCCGGAAUUUAUGNNGCGUAAGCGCGCGUAGGCGGUUUUUUAAGUCUGAUGUGAAAGCCCACGGCUCAACCGUGGAGGGUCAUUGGAAACUGGAAAACUUGAGUGCAGAAGAGGAAAGUGGAAUUCCAUGUGUAGCGGUGAAAUGCGCAGAGAUAUGGAGGAACACCAGUGGCGAAGGCGACUUUCUGGUCUGUAACUGACGCUGAUGUGCGAAAGCGUGGGGAUCAAACAGGAUUAGAUACCCUGGUAGUCCACGCCGUAAACGAUGAGUGCUAAGUGUUAGGGGGUUUCCGCCCCUUAGUGCUGCAGCUAACGCAUUAAGCACUCCGCCUGGGGAGUACGACCGCAAGGUUGAAACUCAAAGGAAUUGACGGGGACCCGCACAAGCGGUGGAGCAUGUGGUUUAAUUUGAAGCAACGCGAAGAACCUUACCAAAUCUUGACAUCCUUUGACAACUCUAGAGAUAGAGCCUUCCCCUUCGGGGGACAAAGUGACAGGUGGUGCAUGGUUGUCGUCAGCUCGUGUCGUGAGAUGUUGGGUUAAGUCCCGCAACGAGCGCAACCCUUAAGCUUAGUUGCCAUCAUUAAGUUGGGCACUCUAAGUUGACUGCCGGUGACAAACCGGAGGAAGGUGGGGAUGACGUCAAAUCAUCAUGCCCCUUAUGAUUUGGGCUACACACGUGCUACAAUGGACAAUACAAAGGGCAGCGAAACCGCGAGGUCAAGCAAAUCCCAUAAAGUUGUUCUCAGUUCGGAUUGUAGUCUGCAACUCGACUACAUGAAGCUGGAAUCGCUAGUAAUCGUAGAUCAGCAUGCUACGGUGAAUACGUUCCCGGGUCU